GUCGAGAAUCUUUCACAAUGGGGGCAACCCUGAUGGAGCGACGCCGCGUGGAGGAUAAGGUCUUCGGAUUGUAAACUCCUGUCAUGCGUGAACAAGGUUGCUUGGUUAAUACCUGGGCAAAUUGAUGGUAACGCAAGAGGAAGAGACGGCUAACUCUGUGCCAGCAGCCGCGGUAAUACAGAGGUCUCAAGCGUUGUUCGGAAUCACUGGGCGUAAAGGGUGCGUAGGUGGCGUGGUAAGUCAGAUGUGAAAGCCCGGGGCUCAACCUCGGAACUGCAUCCGAGACUGCCAUGCUAGAGUACUGGAGAGGUGACUAGAAUUCUCGGUGUAGCAGUGAAAUGCGUAGAUAUCGAGAGGAAUACCAAAGGCGUAGGCAGGUCACUGGACAGUUACUGACACUGAGGCACGAAGGCCAGGGGAGCGAACGGGAUUAGAUACCCGUGUAGUCC
rnacentral:rRNA from 1 species